GUGCUAUCCCUGCAAGACUGGACUGUCAAGAACUCGUCCUGUUUGACCGUCUCUCACUCUGUGGGUGUGCUGCUUGUGAAGUGUGUUGAAGCGCGCAGACUGACCCCUGCUGAUGGGGCUUGUAAAACACAACAUUACAUGUACUUCAAGUCUGAAUUGCUCAGAUGAAUCUCAUGGGCGGAGCUUGGGACUUGAUUGACACCUCCCACUACCAGUAGGCGGUCACGAAUUACAAUGCUGGAGGUGGAGCAACGGGGCGUGGCCAUGGGGUGCCAAUACAGCAACCUCCACCACCCCACCGCCACCAGUUGAGUCCCGUCCUGCACAGGGGUAGGCUCCUCGCCCCAGCCUCCUAUCUCCAGAAGGAUCUGACGGUUCCGAGUACAACUUCUUCAGACUGCCAGACGGGGCUUACACCAAAAAUGAGAGACAUUACAUUCCUGGUUCAUAUU